rnacentral:rRNA from 1 species
CCAGGUCUGACAUCCUCUGACAAUCCUAGAGAUAGGACGUCCCCUUCGGGGGCAGAGUUAACAGGUGGUGCAUGGUUGUCGGUCAGCUCGUGUCGUGAAAUGUUGGGUUAAGUCCCGCAACGAGCGCAACCCUUGAUCUUAGUUGCCAGCAUUCAGUUGGGCACUCUAAGGUGACUGCCGGUGACAAACCGGAGGAAGGUGGGGAUGACGUCAAAUCAUCAUGCCCCUUAUGACCUGGGUCUACACACGUGUCUACAAUGGGCAGAACAAAGGGCAGCGAAACCGCGAGGUUAAGCCAAUCCCACAAAUCUGUUCUCAGUUCGGAUCGCAGUCUGCAACUUGACUGCGUGAAGCUGGAAUCGUCUAGUAAUCGCGGAUCAGCAUGCCGCGGUGAAUACGUUCCCGGGCCUUGUACACACCGCCCGUCACACCACGAGA